GACGAACGCUGGCGGCGUGCUUAACACAUGCAAGUCGAACGGAAAGGCCCUGCUUUUGUGGGGUGCUCGAGUGGCGAACGGGUGAGUAACACGUGAGUAACCUGCCCUAGACUUUGGGAUAACUUCAGGAAACUGGGGCUAAUACCGGAUAGGAGCUCCUGCUGCAUGGUGGGGGGUGGAAAGUUUCGGCGGUUGGGGAUGGACUCGCGGCUUAUCAGCUUGUUGGUGGGGUAGUGGCUUACCAAGGCUUUGACGGGUAGCCGGCCUGAGAGGGUGACCGGCCACAUUGGGACUGAGAUACGGCCCAGACUCCUACGGGAGGCAGCAGUGGGGAAUAUUGCACAAUGGGCGGAAGCCUGAUGCAGCAACGCCGCGUGCGGGAUGACGGCCUUCGGGUUGUAAACCGCUUUCGCCUGUGACGAAGCGUGAGUGACGGUAAUGGGUAAAGAAGCACCGGCUAACUACGUG
rnacentral:rRNA from 1 species